UAAGUGGUAAUGGAAGGAGACCUGGCUUGGGGAGGUGAGCACACAAUACCAUAUACACAUGAUAGAUUAUAGAAUUGUACACCUGAAAUCUAAGUAAGUGUGUAAUUUUCAUC